rnacentral:lncRNA from 1 species
GCCCUCCGAUCGCUCCGGAAAUCAAAUGUGGGCGCUACAGGUGAAUGGGGUAAGGUGCUGGCAGUCUCUCGCAUCAAUCCGACCAAAAUAUUUCUUCUAGGAAAUCCCUCGCGCCCCAUCUACGCCUGGCUGGGAGCAACUCAAAUCAUCGCAGGAGAAGCUGGAUGGCAUAAUCAAGAGCAGCACUAGCAGCAGCGGCAAGAAUCUCCGGUGCGUGAUGAUUUCUUCUUCUUCUUCUUCUUCUUCGUUCACUCUAUCAAGUUCGUUUCUAUCAGGCCAGAGAAUG